AGUUCAACACAUACAAUCGAGGCGUCAAAUUCCGGAAAAUCUUCAUCGCUAAAAGAGGUCCAUGGGUGUCUCCAGCACCAAGCUCGACCUGUGAACAGACACACAGCAGGUUGACAGACAGAAAGCAUUUGAUUCCCAGACAGAUCCCCGCAGUAACACGCGAUCCUCUGCCUAACUUUAUCAACACACAGCCCCUGCUGGAAAAGUCUUAACCUCACAACCUGUUGGGUGUCUUGCAAAGUAUCCAGCCGAGGAGUCACAGCAUAUAAAUCAAUGUCGAGGGUCACAAGCUAGCCACCUAGCUAACGAUACAUGUGAUUGUACACGAAACUGCUCAAUAUCAGCCGGGUAAAGUUGAUAGAAUUGCUGCGACAUGCCCCUGCACACACAUCAAACCAGAUCACUGCUGCAUAUGUUACCUCUCUCCUGACAUUUAGCAGGGAAUAGUAAUCAUCGUUGAGGAUCUCAUCAUCGUCCAAGGAAGACGCCAUGUUUA